rnacentral:tRNA from 1 species
UGCGGUAUAGUUCAGUGGUAGAGUGCAUGCCUAGAGCACAAGAGGUCCUGGGUUCAAUCCCCAGUAUCUCCA